rnacentral:rRNA from 1 species
CCCUAUUAUAUCUAGAUAAACUUAGGAAGUAAAGCAUUAAUUAAACCUAUUUACAUUGACGGUUUUCAUUAUCUAGAGGAACAUGUUUAAUAAUCGACAAUCCACGUUAAUUUUAACUUUAAUUAAAAAUUUAUAUACCGCCAUAUAUAAGAAUAUAUACAAAAUAUAUUCUUUUUAUNAAAAAUUAAAAAAUUAGGUCAAGGUGUAAUCAACAUUAAAGCUAUUAUGUGUUACAUUAAAAAUUAUUUAAGGAAUAAAUAUAAUAAAAUUUACGAAAGAGGAUUUAGUAGUAUAUUUUAAAUAAUAAUAUAACUUGAAUUUUUACAGAAAAUGUACACAUCG